CCUACGGGCGGCAGCAGUGGGGAAUUUUGGACAAUGGGCGCAAGCCUGAUCCAGCAAUGCCGCGUGAGUGAAGAAGGCCUUCGGGUUGUAAAGCUCUUUUGUCAGGGAAGAAACGGUGUGGGCUAAUAUCCUGCACUAAUGACGGUACCUGAAGAAUAAGCACCGGCUAACUACGUGCCAGCAGCCGCGGUAAUACGUAGGGUGCAAGCGUUAAUCGGAAUUACUGGGCGUAAAGCGUGCGCAGGCGGUUUUGUAAGUCUGUCGUGAAAUCCCCGGGCUCAACCUGGGAAUUGCGAUGGAGACUGCAAGGCUAGAAUCUGGCAGAGGGGGGUAGAAUUCCACGUGUAGCAGUGAAAUGCGUAGAGAUGUGGAGGAACACCGAUGGCGAAGGCAGCCCCCUGGGUCAAGAUUGACGCUCAUGCACGAAAGCGUGGGGAGCAAACAGGAUUAGAUACCCUGGUAGUCCACGCCCUAAAACGAUGUCUACUAGUUGUCGGGUUUUAAUUAACUUGGUAACNCAGCUAACGCGUGAAGUAGACCCGCCGUGGGGAGUACGGUCGCAAGAUUAAAACCNCGAAAGAGUAGUACGGCGUCGAGAGAGACGACGACGACGACGACGGAGGGAGGAGG
rnacentral:rRNA from 1 species